UACGGAGGGGGCGAGCGUUAUUCGGAAUUACUGGGCGUAAAGUGUGCGCAGGCGGCCGAGCAAGUCGAGUGUGAAAGCCCCGAGCUUAACUUGGGAACUGCGCUCGAAACUACUUGGCUAGAGUGUGGCAGAGGGAGGUGGAAUUCCACGUGUAGCGGUGAAAUGCGUAGAGAUGUGGAGGAACACCGAUGGCGAAGGCAGCCUCCUGGGCCAACACUGACGCUCAUGCACGAAAGCGUGGGGAGCAAACAGG
rnacentral:rRNA from 1 species